rnacentral:ncRNA from 1 species
UUUUUUUGGAAGGACCGUAAAUCCUAUCUUUUAAAGGAAGGAGAAGUCGUAACAAGGUUUCCGUAGGUGAACCUGCGGAAGGAUCAUUU